CCAACCCUCCCUCUCGAUGCCGCCACACCUCUUCGCUCUGCUGCCACCGUGUCGUUACUCUGCUGCUCCAACACCCGUCGUCGCCCCGUCGCACUCGCGCCGCCGUCCCUCCGUCCCCUGUUUCAAAUCGAAACACGUUGUAUCAAUAAGUUAAUAUCUUCAGCGUUUCAGAGAUGUCAAUUAUCGGAGAAGAUAUGCAGACUCUCGAUGAUUCUCGCUUGAUCUACGUCUUCCUCUCUUCGAGUCUCAAGUAAUGAGCACAUACCUUUAUAUUAGUGUGAUUUAUAAUUUCUAAUUGUUCCUCUCUUUAAUUUCUAUUGAUGCUUGUAAAACAGAUGGAAUUCUUUCUAUCAAAACCAUGAGUAAGUUUUUGAUGUUCUUGUUAUGGUUAGUUUUGCUUCGAUUUCACUAAAUAUAUGCACACACGUCAAGCGAAAAUUGGAAAAGAGAUAGCUAUUUUCUUAUCUGCGUCAUUAUCAGAGGUAAUAUGCAAGCCUUCUGUAUAAGCCUCCAAGCAAAAUUGUUUUACUCUUAAGUACGUGUUGUUUGAACUCCUCAAUUUUCAUCAACCAUGUGGAUAAGGUGCUAUUUUAAUUGUUCUACAUCGUGGCUUAACAUUGAAAUAGAUUCCAAUUAUUUAAUAGCGUUAUUGUGUUGAAUAUAUUUGUGCUACUUUUAGUUUAUGCUACUAUGUACCGGUGCUGCCAUCUUGGUUUAUGUAGUUUUUUUUAAAGAAAUUUGAUUUCUAUCAAAUGUUCUUAAAGAAAUUUGAGUCCUUGAAAAUCCAUUUUUGCUUGUCCUUGGGAACUCCAGGUCUAAUGUAUACAACUUUGGAGUAAUAUUAUGGGAACCUACAACCGAAAAGAUCCCUUGGGAUAAUCUCAACUCAAUGCAGGUGAUUGGAGCCGUGGGGUUCAUGGAUCAGCGACUUGAAAUUCCAAAAGAUGUUGAUCACGAUGGGCUUCUAUAAUUUAGAGCUGCUGGCAUCGUAAUCCAGCUUCCCGUCCAAAAUUCUGGGAACUACUCGAGAAGCUUAGAGAGCUGCAAAGACGGGAGCUCUAGCUACGUAAGAUGAUAUGAAAAAAGGAAGUGAAACAUCAUUAGCAAAAGUAUCAAAUAUGAUCUUAAAAUAUAUGUGGGAGCAUAAUUUGGAAAGCUUUUAGCUUCACAACAAUCAACAGUGACAGGGGAGCUGAAUUUGAAGGUGUUGUUACAGAACUAGUCCAUGUUCUUAUUACUAGCCCAUGUUAAACAAUGCUUUUGUAGAAACACCAAGUGACAGAUGAAUGGACAGAGGAACUCAAACAUGGGAAGGGAACUGAAUCUCUAUAUAGUUACUGCUGCAGUUUAUGGUGGAAUGUGCAUGGGGGUAUUAACUGUGCUUGGAGACUUGAUGAUGGGUCCAUUUGGCACAGGAGCUGAGAUCAUGCUUGCUGCUACCAUCUUUUAUGAGUUGUCUGAGGCAUUAGAGAACGAACAUGACCUCUGAACUUGGCUUUUAGGAACUAGUUUCUUUCUUGAUUGGCAACUUGCUUACAGUUAGUUUAGUUAGUUAGCCUUCUUGUAAUAACAAUUGAUUUCACUAGUGUAUGUAUUUGGAUAUUUGGAUUUGGUUUGUAGGUUUUGAUGCCUAUACCGAAGCCAACAGGUUAUGCAGGAGACGAUCCUUAUAAAAUGUAAGUAUUUUCAAUUAUUAUUAUGUUGUGUGGUGUUUCCUCCUCAGAAUGACGGUGGCAGAUGCUAUCACAAUACUCAAGUCCUUUGUUCCCAUGCCCAUGAGCUUCAAUAACCUUUCUUCUCUCUCUUCUUCUACAAGAAAGAAGAGCCUUCAAUUCAUAUUUUCAGGUCAAAUAUACCAGCAUUCACAAUUUCUUCUUCUUGUUUUUUCCAAUUGUUUUGAAUAUGGUAGAAAUAUUUUUGAAUAUAAUGAAUGGGUUGUU